CUCUUUUACAUCAAUUCUAAAUAAUAUAUCUAUAAAUCUAAGGAUAGUCUGGUUUCUCUUAUAAUCAGUGCCAGGCUAACUUCAACAGUGCUCAGUUCUGUGGUCAAAUGUCUCUUCAUCACACAUUUCAGAUGGCGAUAUCAAGACAAAAAGAUCCCUUUUGAAAGAGUCUACAUGGAUCUGUAUGGUGGAAGAACUUACCUACCACGAUAUCUAUUGGAACUAUUUAGAAGUUUUUUUUUUUUUCUUUUAAGUCAUAUAUCAAUACUUGUUCUGUUGGGUUGGCCAAAAAGUUUGAGUUUUUCUGUAACUAUGGAAAAAUUCAAACUUUUUGGCCAACCCAGUAACUAGUGUUGGUAGAUUCUGGUAAGCAUGCUUGCUUUGUUUGAGUACUGGAUGUGCAAGAAGCUCAUUGAAGUGGUACAUUAUAAGUGCCAUUUAUAUAUAUAUAUAUAUAUAUAUAUAGAGAGAGAGAGAGAGAGAGAGAGAGAGCUGAAGACAGAGCUCUAUGUAUCUAUACUGUGUGAGACAUUUAUUAUGAGGAAUUGGCUCACUCAAUAAUGGAGGCUGAGAUGACCCACAAUCUACCAAAUGCAAGCCAGAGGUACAGGAGAGCUGAUGGUAUAAUUCCAGUCUGAGCGAGAAUCAGGAGAGCCAGUGGUGAAACUCCCAGUCCAAGGGCAGAAGGAGACCAGUGUCCCAAUUCAGCAGGCAGGCAGGACAAAAAACAGGGGUGAGUUCUUCCUUUCUCUGUCUUUUGUCCUAUUUGGGCUUUUAAUGGAUUGAAUGAUAUCUACCCACACCGGGGAAGGCAAUCUACUUUACGGAGCCCACCAAUUUAAAUGCUAAUUUCAGCUGGAAACCCCCUCACAGACAGACCCAGAAAUGUUUAAUCUGGGCAGUUCAUGGCACAGUCAAGCUGACACAUAAAAUUAACCACAAUACUGUCCUUCAGAACUGAAAAUGAAAGUGAUUCUCAGAUAAACAGAGCCUGGGGGAAUUUAUAUUAGACCUGACUUAUACCAGAGAAGCCCUUUCAGCUGAAAAGCAAUGAUGCCAGCCUGAAAUUCAAGUCCAAAGAAAGGAAUGAAGACUAUAAACAGUGGUAAAUUUGUGGGUAAAUAUAAAUGUAUACAUUUUUCUUUUUUUCUCUUAAGACACACAAGAUUGUUUAAAAAAAAUAACAUUGUGUUUUGGGGUGUAUAACAUAUAUAAGAUGUAAUGCCACAUUUGUAUGCCAUAUCUAUAUGUUUUAUAAACUACCUUAAUAUAAAUACAUAAAAUAUAAACAUAUUAAAAAUAAGUAUAUAAACAGCAUCUAUAGAUGUAUAGAUGUAAAGAAAGAGAAAGAAAUGGAGCUAUAGUAUAGCAAAGUUUCUGUGGUUUACUAGAAUAACAUAAAUAUUAACCUGAAGUAGAUUGUGAUCAAUUAAAAUGUAUUAUAUUGUAAUCCCUAUAGAAACUACUAAGAUAAUUCAAAAUGUAUAGUUAAAUCAGCAGAACAAUUUAAAUGAGACAAUAAAAUUUUUGUUCAACAUAACAGAAGACAAUAAGGAGGAACAGAGUAACAAAAAAAGAUUUAGACAUGCAGAAAACAAAUAGAAAAAUACCAAGUAUAAAUCUAACCAUAUCAAUAAUUACAUUAAAUGUGAAUGAACUAAACACUUCUGUCAAAAGGCAGAUAUUGGGGACUUCCCUGGCAGUUCCUUGGUUAAGAUUGUGAGCUUCCAUUUAAGGGAGAAUGGGUUCGAUUCUUGAUCAGGGAACUAAGAUUCCUUAUGUGGUAUGCUCCCCACCCCACAAAGGCACAUAUUGUCAGAAUUGAUAAAAAAGCAAGAUAUAACUAUGUUCUGACUACAAAAUCAGACUUCAUAUUCAAUAACUCAAAUGAGUUGAAAUAAAAUGAUGGAGAAAGAUAUAACAGAAAUUAUAAGAAAGCCAGCAUUAAUAUCACACAACAUGAUGUUAAAACUCAAAGUAUUGCUAGAAACCAAAAGAGACAUUUCAUAAUGAUUAAAAGGGCCAAUACAUCAGGAGGACAUAGCAAUUAUAAAAGUGUGUGUGUAUGUGUAUGUAUGUGUAUAUAUAUAUGAAAGUGAAAGUGAAGUCGCUCAGUCAUGUCCGACUCUUUGCGACCCCGUGGAUUGUAGCCCACGGAAUUUUCCAGGCAAGAGUACUGGAAUGGGUUGCCAGUUCCUUCUCCAGGGGAUCUUCCUGACCCAGGGACCAGACCCAGGUCUUCUGCAUUGUAGGCAGAGGCUUUACCUCUGAGCCACCAGGGAAGACCUAUAUAUAUAUAUAUAUGAGAGGGCCCCAAAAUACUGAGGCAAAAAUUGACAGAAUUAAAAGGAGAAGUGCAUGGUUUAACAGUUAUAAAUGGAACUUCAUUACUCACCUCUGAGUUAAUCGAUAGAACUAGACAUAAAAUGACCAAGGAUACAGAAGACAUUAAAAACCGUAACCUAACGUUUUAUAGAACACUCCACUCCACCUCACAUGAGCAGAGAACAGACUCUUCAAAGCACACAUGAAAUAUUCUCCAGCGUAGACUAUAUGCCAGUCAUGACAAAUCUCAAUAAAUUAAAAAAGAUUUAAAUCAUUCAAAGUAUACCUGACUACAAUAGCACUAAGUUAUAAAUCAACAGGAAGAAGUGGGGGAAGUCUCCGAAUCUUUGGAAAUUAAACAACAUACUUCUAAAUAAGUCAUGUAUUGAAGAACUCACAAUGGGACUUGUAAAAUAUUUUGAACAUAAAGAAGAUGAAAACAUAACAUCAAAAUUUAAGGGAUGCGCAUAAAGCAGAAAUUGGUAACUUUUUACACAUGAUGUUAAAAAGAAAGUUCUCUCCAAUUAAAAUAAAUAAAUUUAAAUUAAAAAACAAAACAACAACAAAAAAAGACAGGUCUCAGAUCAACAAUCUAAGUUGCCAUUUUAGUGAACUAGAAAAGGAAGAGUAAAGUUAACCUGAAGCAAGCGUAAGGAAGGAUAUGAUAAUAUAUGAGUGGAGAUCAGUGAAAUAGAAAACAGAAAAAAAUAGAAAAAAUCAGUAGAUGCAAAAAUUUGUUCUUUGAAAAGCUCAGUCAAUGAAAUUGAUAAACUUUACCUAGACUAAGAGGAAAAAAAGACAAAGAUUAGCAAAAUGUAAAAAAUAAAUAAAGUUAAAACAAAAUUAAAAAAAACAAGGAUCAUUGAUGUCAACCCUACAAAAGUAACAAGGAUUAUAAAUGGAUGUUCUGAACCACUAUGUCAAUACCAAUAGUUAGAUAACAUAAAUGACAUGGUAAAUUUCUAGGAGGACCCAAACUAAAAUUAACUAAGGAUAAAUAGAAAUACUGAACAGACCUCUAACAAAGAUAUAAAUUUGUAAUUAAAAAUCUUCCUUCGGUGGCUCAGAUGGUAAAGAAUCUGCCUGCAAUGCAGGAGACCUGGGUUCGAUCUCCGGGUCGGGAAGGUCCCCUGGAGAAGGGAAUGGCUACCCACUCCACUUUCUUGCCUGAGAACUCUGUGGACAGAGGAGCCUGGCGGGCUGUAGUCCAUGGGGGUGGCAAAGUGUUGGACAUGACUGAGCAACUAACACACACACACACACACACACACACACACACACAGAGAUGACUUCACUGGUAGACUCUAUCAAAUUUCUGAAGAAGAAAUAAAGUCAAUCUCACAUGAACUCUUUCAGCAAACAGGAGGAAACACUUUCCAAAAUGUUCUGAGUCUAGUUUUACCCUAAUAACAAAGUCUGACAGAGAUAUAUAAGAAGACUACAGAACAAUAUCCUUACUUAACACAGACAUAAAAAUCCUUAACAAAGUAUUACCAAACCAAACCCAACAACUUAUAAAAAGAAUUAUACACCAUGACCAGGUAUGAUUUAUUCCAGGAAUCCAAGUUUGAUCUAACAUUCAAAAAUCAAUUUAGGUAAUAAUAUACCAUACUAACAAAGGACAGUUCAGUUCAGUUCAGUCGCUCAGUCGUGUCCAACUCUCUGCGACCCCAUGAAUUGCAGCACACCAGGCCUCCCUGUCCAUCACCAACUCCUGGAGUUCACUCAGACUCAUGUCCAUCGAGUCAGUGAUGCCAUCCAGCCAUCUCAUCCUCUGUCGUCCCCUUCUCCUCCUGCCCCCAAUCCCUCCCAGCAUCAGAGUCUUGUCCAAUGAAUCAUCUCUUCGCAUGAGGUGACCAAAGUACUGGAGUUUCAGCUUUAGCAUCAUUCCUUCCAAAGAAAUCCCAGGGUUGAUCUCCUUCAGAAUGGACUGGUUGGAUCUCCUUGCAGUCCAAGGGACUCUCAAGAGUCUUCUCCAACACCCAGUUCAAAAGCAUCAAUUCUUCGGCACUCAGCUUUCUUCACAGUCCAACUCUCACAUCCAUACAUGACUACUGGAAAACCAUAGCCUUGACUUGAUGGACCUUUGUUGGCAAAGAAAGGUCUCUGCUUUUUAAUAUGCUAUCUAGGUUGGUCAUAACUUUUCUUCCAAGGAGUAAGCGUCUUUUAAUUUCAUGGCUGCAGUCACCAUCUGCAGUGAUUUUGGAGCCCCAAAAAAUAAAGUCUGACACUGUUUCCACUGUUUUCCCAUCUAUUUGCCAUGAAAUGAUGGGACCAGAUGCCAUGAUCUUAGUUUUCUGAACGUUGAGCUUUAAGCCAACUUUUUCACUCUCUUUCACUUUCAUCAAGAGGCUUUUUAGUUCCUCUUCACUUUCUGCCAUAAGGAUGGUGUCAUCUGCAUAUCUGAGGUGAUUGAUAUUUCUCCUGGCAAUCUUGAUUCCAGCUUGUGCUUCUUUCAGCCCAGCGUUUCUCAUGAUGUACUCUGCAUAGAAGUUAAAUAAGCAGGGUGACAAUAUACAGCCUUGAUGUACUCUUUUCCUAUUUGGAACCAGUCUGUUGUUCCAUGUCCAAUUCUAACUGUUGCUUCCUGAUCUGCAUAUAGAUUUCUCAAGAGGCAGGUCAGGUGGUCUGGUAUUCCCAUCUCUUUCAGAAUUUUCCACAGUUUAUUGUGGUCCACACAGUCAAAAGCUUUGGCAUAGUCAGUAAAGCAAAAAUAGAUGUUUUUCUGGAACUCUCUUGCUUUUCCAUGAUCCAGCGGAUGUUGGCAAUUUGAUCUCUGGUUCCUCUGCCUUUUCUAAAACCAGCUUGAACAUCAGGAAGUUCACGGUUCACGUAUUGCUGAAGCCUGGCUUGGAGAAUUUUGAGCAUUACUUUACUAGCAUGUGAGAUGAGUGCAAUUGUGUGGUAGUUUGAGGAUUCUUUGGCAUUGCCUUUCUUUGGGAUUGGAAUGAAAACUGACCUUUUCCAGUCCUGUGGCCACUGCUGAGUUUUCCAAAUUUGCUGGCAUGUUGAGUGCUGCACUUUCACAGCAUCAUCUUUCAGGAUUUGAAACAGCUCAACUGGAAUUUCGUCACCUCCACUAGCUUUGUUUGUAGUGAUGCUUUCUGAGGCCC
ensembl:lncRNA